rnacentral:lncRNA from 1 species
AUUAAGCAAUUUCUUCAAAGCUCUCCAAGCUUGUUUAGGGAAUGAUUGCUUAUGUUCUUCCCAAAUUUGCAUGCUCGAUAGUAGGUCAGGUCAUCAUCAAGAUCAGAAAGUCCUUCUCCCAGUUUCUUAAGUAGCCCUAAAAGAUGAAAAUACCCAAGUCUUUUGUGCCAAAUUUCAGUGGCAUUUUCUUUGGAUUUAAAGGCUAUGUGCUCCUCCUCCAUUGGAUUGAGAGCAAAACUUGUUCCCUUCAUCUCAACUUUAAACA